rnacentral:rRNA from 1 species
UUUUGCUGGAGAGUUUGAUCCUGGCUCAGCGCGAACGCUGUCGGCGUGCCUAA